GUCACUGAAAUCUUUUGAAAAUGUAAACGUUGUUGUGCUUUCCAUCCAAACAAACUGCAGCUGCUCUGUGUGUUUAUUGUGCAGUCUCGCCCUCCACAGUACUGUGGCGCUGUUGGCCCAAUGUCGCAGCGUCAAGGCAUGUGCCAUGUGGCGCUUUCGUUAGUAUGUGUGUUUAACUUUUUCCAGCUCUGCGCAGACCGAUCACCUUAUGACAAAAAGCAUGCGGACUUAGAAUAACAUCUCUAAAGCAUACAGAGCAGUCAGUUCACAAAUAGCUCUCACUGUGCUUUGAUGUCGCCGAUCCGUCUGCGAUCAAACAUCAGUGGCACGAGUGUUCACCGGUGUUGUUCCGCUCGCGCGACAGGCGGGAAUUCAAAAUAACGGAUCGCAACAACCUCUCGACUGUCCCAUUGGAUAAUUUUCAGUAUUUUCCAGUUGAGCAGCAAAAAAAUGGGCAACCAAGGCCAACAGACCCAGCCCACCCUGAUGCUCAUCCUUGCACUGCCUGGGACACCUAAGGCCAACAGGCGCAGCUCCUGUUCUCUUUUUGCCAUAAAUACUUUAGCAAUGCAAAAUUGUGAAAUGUACUAUAGAAAUAAUUUUUACUUUGACUACAUGGAUCCUCACACCACCUGGUAAUAGCAGGAAACCCAUUUGGAGAGAACAGCAUUGUUUUCUGUAGCUCGCAAGGAUUUGCUUUUUGGCAAAUUACAACUUUACCAUGUGUGUAGGCCUUGCUAUGAGAGACUACUUUUUUGCUGGACUUUUUUACAAUUGUACAUUUGUACAAAGUACCUGAAAUAUUUCUGUAUGUACAGUAUAUUUAAAAUUAAGGCAAAUUAUUUGGUUAGUUUUGUUAAGAUAAAGACUUUUCAUUUAUAACAAUAUCACCAACACAAUAUUAAUUAUACAUGUGAUUUCAUGAAUUUAGGAUGGUAAUGUUCAAUAUUGACCAUUCUGUAAAUAUUUAUUCAAUGUAAAUUGUUGUUGUUUAUCAAUAAACUGUUGUAUUUGAUUUAGUAUUUCUGCUUAUUAAAAUAUUGUGAAUAGCAAAUAUAAACUGUGAAAUGGUGCCUUGAAGCACCCAAGAUGGUUCCAGACCAUUUUAAUAAAAGGGAUCCCCAAGAAGCCUUGGAGGGUUCCUCAGAGAACCGCCCUUCAUUAAGCGGUGCCUUGAG